rnacentral:rRNA from 1 species
CUCCUACGGGGCGCAGCAGUGGGGGAUAUUGGACAAUGGGGGGAACCCUGAUCCAGCGACGCCGCGUGAGUGAAGAAGUAUUUCGGUAUGUAAAGCUCUGUCAGCAGGGAAGAAAGAAAUGACGGUACCUGACCAAGAAGCCCCGGCAAACUACGUGCCAGCAGCCGCGGUAAUACGUAGGGGGCGAGCGUUGUCCGGAAUGACUGGGCGUAAAGGGAGUGUAGGCGGCAUAUUAAGUUAUGUGUGAAAGCCCGCGGCUCAACCGCGGAAUUGCACAUAAAACUGGUAAGCUGGAGUGCAGGAGG